GACCAGCAACAACACCAUCAUCAUCGUCAGUGUUGUGGUCGGGAUGCUGGUGGUGCUGGGUCGUCAUCACUGCUGUUCUCAUCAAAUGCAGGAGGCGAGCCAAAAUGACGGAGGAUGCUCAAAAACCAACCCAAGCCCAAGAUGAACCAGGAGGUAAUCUGACCUACGUCACUAUCAACCACGCUAAUUACAAUCCGAAGAAAAAGGUCAAAGUGAAGGAGGAAGCAGUGACUUAUUCUACAAUCAAGACCACAGUGAAGAUGGAGGCCAACAUUGAUCCCAGCAGCUUCUACAGCUCUGUCAGAUGAGUUUAUCACAAUGAAUGACUGGAAAUGAGACUUCUCUUAGUGUCAGCUGUGUCUGUCUUCUGUUGGCUUUGCUUUACGCUCUGGAAAAGAUAAAAUCUGCAAAGUAGAACUGGCUGCGUUUAUGGUUUUUAUCACAUUGGAUUAUAAAUUAUGUCACAUUGCUAAAGACUGUAGCUCUCAGUUUUUACUAUGAUAGAAGCUUUUUUUGCACUUUUUUGGUAAUAUAUUGUAUAUUGUAAAGGCUGGAUUUAAUCCUGUGCUGUUAUUUGUAGGACUGUGAACUGAACUUUUUCUUCUUCUUGUGCUUUUGUGUCAUAUUUACUGCUGUUAUGAUCUGCUAUAAAUGUCUUCAGAUGUUAUUGUUAUGGAAUGUUUCGCUCCUCAGGGACAAAAUAAGUGACUCACUUGAAAAUUGUUAUUAAAAUUCCGACUUGAACCUGUGAAUAUUUCAACUUUACAUUGACAUUUAAAUAAACAUUGAAUCAAAUUAAAA